rnacentral:misc_RNA from 1 species
GAUGAAGAACGCAGCAAAAUGCGAUAAGUAAUGUGAAUUGCAGAAUUCAGUGAAUCAUCGAAUCUUUGAACGCACAUUGCGCCCGCCAGUAUUCUGGCGGGCAUGCCUGUUCGAGCGUCAUUUCAACCCUCAAGCCCCCGGGUUUGGUGUUGGGGAUCGGCGAGCCUCACGGCAAGCCGGCCCCGAAAUACAGUGGCGGUCUCGCUGCAGCUUCCAUUGCGUAGUAGUAAAACCCUCGCAACUGGUACGCGGCGCGGCCAAGCCGUUAAACCCCCAACUUCUGAAUGUUGACCUCGGAUCAAGUAGGAAUACCCGCUGAACUUAAGCAUAUCAAUAAGCGGAGGA